CAGAAGGUUAUAACACCUACAAACCACUGUGAACCGUUCUUUUAGCUGCCUCGGCGGACAAUCCCAGGGCGGGAUUCCGGGCUCCUUCGGGGCGUCCGCCGGCGGUGCAACCUCUAGCUCUGUCUCUCAGCGGGCUUCUGAGUGAUUUUGAAAACAAUCA
rnacentral:misc_RNA from 1 species